rnacentral:tRNA from 1 species
GGAGGGGUCGCAUAGUCAGGUCUAGUGCGCAGCAUUGGAAAUGCUGUAAGGGUUCACGCCCUUCGAGGGUUCAAAUCCCUCUCCCUCCG